CAAAAAGCCUUUCAAUCUUGAUGAAGGAAACAAAAACCAGAAUCCUUAACUGCUCUCAAAUCUGGUAAGCAGUAUUCCAGCUGACUUGCACUCAGCAACCAAAUUACAAGAAGAGGGUGAAAUUGUAUGGACAGCCUUUAAUAGGAAGUGAAGA
rnacentral:lncRNA from 12 species